AAUAAGUGCAGUUUUGCACUAUUCACGUUCAACGUUUAACCGUUUGUCUUAUUUAAAAUUUUUUUUAUGAUUGGUAUUUUUAUUGCUAUUAGAUGAUAAAACAUGAAUAUUACUUUAUGUGACUAAAUAUUUUUAAUUUUUUCACAAAUUUUUCAAAUAAGACGGACGGUCAAACGUUGGGCACGGAUAUCCACAGUUGCACUUAUU
rfam:Oryza barthii chromosome 9, whole genome shotgun sequence.